AUGAAGAUCUGGAUGAUGACCUUCAGCUUCUGCAACACUCGCCACCUCUUGAAAGAACUCCAAUCCUUUGGUGAAAGUCUUGACCUUCCAGGACUUAUGCAGCUUCAGUGUGCCACCAUCAUUCACCAAAUCCCACCCCGACACCUGUGGCAUCAACUGAUAGGCAGCUUCUUCAGUCAUAGGCCUCAAAUCCUUUGUGUUGCAUGGUACACACUUCUUAGUUGACAAAACUGCUGCUGAAGACAAAGUCUUAAUCCCGUAAUGAGUGUUAGUUUUUGCUGACACUGCAAGAUUACUGCACAUUACCCCAGUUCCAGCUACAUGUGUAUUUGAGCUUCCA
rnacentral:misc_RNA from 1 species